AGGUUAUUACCUGAUUUUUUUAUGAUUCUGGUUUUCAUCUUCUUGUCCAAGGUUCAAAUUUCAUUUGCAACCAGCAUAUCCCAUAAUCCAGAAGUCAUUUUCAUUAACAAGACUGUAGCCUUGAUUUUUUUCUUUGAAAAAGUUAAAGAAUUUACACCCAAACAUUUUAUAACAAAAUAUUGCCUAGAAAAUUGCUUAUAUCUCCACAAUUUCUUAACUAUCAAUAAGAUCCUUUGUGAUACAUGAGCACUAUUUCCACAAAUGCCUCAGAUUUCAAAAUUUUUACAACUGUAGAACUGGACUGAUUUAUCAUGCAUAAUGUUAAACAGGGAUAUUCCACAAAUCAAAGCACCCAUCAUUUUACUUUCACAAUCAUAUAGACAUAUGAGAAAAAAGUGUAAUGUAGAAUUUCAAAUUCAUAAUAAGUUUUUAAAGAUAACCUUGCAAUGUCCUUCUAAACAGACUUCAUUUAAAAUCUAUAAAGUUGUUUCCCCCCAGAAAAAAUCAAAUGGAAGAGUCUGGAUUGUAGCAGAAUUUAUGGUGGGAAAACAGGUGGUUAACCCAGCCAGCAUGACCAUAUCGGGCCGAUAUAGGAUUAAUGUCGACAUGUUGGCAAAAUAUGCCGACUAUUGGCCGACGUCGGGCCGCUGCAGUGCCAACAUAUUGAGUGUUUUGAAAAAUUCUAAUUGCAAUGGCAUUGUUUACUUAAUAAUGUGAAUAAAUUGUCCUGUGUAUGAUUUCAAUUACUAGAACCACAUUAACCACAUUUUCGUGUUACAUCAAAAAAGAUACAUCGGGUCUGCGUCGGGCCUACAUGACCUUUCAAUGCAACUAUUUUGUAUAUCGGAUUGACAUCGGUAUGAUAUUGCGUUUUCUGUUGAAUUGAAAAUCAUGCAGCAAAUAAUUGUACAUUUUGAUAUGAAUUUCUUAAAUAAUCAUAGUUUAGUUUGGAAAUGAUAUGUGGUAUGUUUUUAAAUUCAAUAUUUAUGUUUUGACUACAUAAAAAUCACUCUUUUAUUAUAUUUUAAAUGAAAAGCUUGCAAAUAUUCACUGCAGUCCUAAAAUUAACCGAUUAAGCGCCAAAAACAAAAGCUAACAAAGGAAGGUGAUGAAAAGCAUGUUUUUUUUUUAUUUUAUUAAUGUAAUGAUGAUUCAACAAAUCUGUUAACGCUGUUAAUAAUUAGAAUUUUACACUUAAAAUUAUUGGAAAAACACAAUUUAUCUGUUUGUUUAUUUUUAGAUGUAAAAAUUAUGUUUGAAAAUUUUUGUCAUAUGAUUUCGCGACAUGCAUGUCAUUUGCAUAUUUAAGUUAAAAUGUAUGUCUUUAUUAUCUUAUGUUGUAAACUAAUCAUCGUAUAUUUUGUGUUUUUGCAGGUUAUGCCGAAUGCUUGCUGCUAGAUGUCAUCAACAUGCUAGCAUAAGGAUGAUACCUGGUCGAUAUAGGACCGAUAUCUUUUUGCUGUUGGCUGACAUCGCACCGCUUUUGUUUGAUGUAGGCCCGAUGUCAAGAAAUAUCGGGCCUAUAUCGUUAAGAUGUCGGCCUGAUAUUGUGCUGCCGAUGUCGGGCCAACAUCAUUCCUAUUUGCAGCCGAGGUUAAAGCCGACAUCGGGCGUCAUAGAAAACCAUGUCGGUUUGAUGUCGGGCCGAUAUAGAAUGUUGGCUGGGUUACCAUUAUCAGACUGGUCAGUGCAAGGUGUAAAAUCAGUCAGUUGUGUAAAAUCAUUGUAGAGUAGUAGAGGCAGUGUUUAUUUAUUUAUCCUACUUAACAGGUCAUUUAUAUUACAAACUAGAUUGAAGAGCUUAAUGUAUAAGUUUAUUUCAUACACAAUUAACUUUACAGAGUGAAUAAUAACUCAUAAUGUCUGCAAAUUUGUAGUCUUGAAUAAGAACAUGUACCAGUUUGUUGUUGUUGUAGUUUUUGUUGUUGUUCUUUUUAUACUUAAAAGAACAACAAGGACAGGCCUAUGUGAACUAUCUCAUAUAUUUUAAAACUAAAUAAUCAUAUACAAUGUACAUGUAUAUUCAAAUUUAGAUAGCACUCUUAGUUCAAAGUUGCUUGCAUUAUGAAUGUUAAAAAUUAAAUCCUAAGUGUAAAUAAUGUGCAUGCAGUCUGUACAAUUGCAUCAAAGAUAUUAAAGUAUUUAAAUAACAAGAGUUUCUCUAAAAGAAUUUCUAAGUGUGUAUUGUACAUCUGUAUCAUUGAAAAUACAGCAGCUGUUGUUUUGGACUUAGAUUAUUUUCAGCACAAAAUAUCAGCUCAAUAUUUUCUAAGUAUCAGAAUUACAUGUGUACAUCUAAAACACAGGUCUUGUCUCAAAAAUACACCUGUAAAAUUGUUAAAAUACACCUUUAUUUCUUAGACAAAAUGUCAAAUUCAGCAAACACAGGUCCCUUAGACCUGUAUUUUUACAAAAAACAGGUGUUUUUCAGUCGUCUUACAGUUGUAAAACAGGAGUUUUUUUCGUGCGGGUGUGAUCAUGUCAUUAGUGUGAAUGAAUGUCAUGAUGAAUGACCAAAUUUACUUAAAAUAAAUUAUAAGUGAAGCACAAUAACUUAAUCCAAACAUCUUAACAGUAUUAAAUGAAUAGACUGUUUUAAGAAAAUUAAGACAUUUAUUUCCAAGUUAAACAUAGAAUAAAUAAGAUUAAUUAUGAUAAACAUGGAUUGAAUUCUUCACACUUUCACUUCUGUUCCUGAUAUAACUGUAUAAUGUAUUCCAUUUUCAGAAAAUAAUGAUCCUGGCCUUAUAAUCCCAGACCUUCCUGUUGGAAGUGAGACAAACUCUUUGGGAAGAAAGGAAAUUUUGCAGGAUAAAGGAUUUGAAGGUGAUAAUGAGCCAGUGCCAAAGAAGGCAAAAUAUGACACAUCGACUACAGCCUGAACAUUAAGAGCAUGGAACCCUUUUCUGCCAGACAUAAGCUGCCUCAUCCUGUGAUGGACCUUGAAUAGGGAUGACUGGUUCCAUCUUCCUGCUCCUACAAAAAAAGAAGCUGAAUUGAUAUUUCUUAGUAAGGAUUGGUAUACAAAAAGUGCCACUUGUGUCUGUUUAGAAAUGAUAUCAAAUGAUUUUAAACAUAAAACAAUGUAACAAGCAUAUCCAAAAGCAUAAUUAUUAUAUUUUAAAUUGCUUUAAUAUAUAUGUUUAUAUGAAACUAUUAAUGUUUAGUAAUUAAUGAUCAAUUACCGAUUACGUUUGGGAUUCUACAUUUCUCAUAGAAUUUCCUCUUCAAAUGUUGUAAAUCUUGACCUCUCAGUUGGAAAUCUGAAAUAAAAGUAUAAGUGGUAUUUAAUUAUAGACGUUAAAUGAAAAGAGUAUAAUUUAUGUACUGAUUAAAGAAGUGGUAGGAAUUGGGUUUUCCUUUGCUAUAUGAAACCCUAUAAAAGUGC